UACGUAGGUGGCAAGCGUUGUCCGGAUUUACUGGGCGUAAAGAGCGCGCAGGCGGUCGUUCAAGUCGCGUGUGAAAGCCCCCGGCUCAACUGGGGAGGGUCACGCGAUACUGAUCGACUCGAAGGCAGGAGAGGGAGUGGAAUUCCCGGUGUAGUGGUGAAAUGCGUAGAUAUCGGGAGGAACACCAGUGGCGAAGGCGACUACCUGGCCUGUUCUUGACGCUGAGGCGCGAAAGCUAGGGGAGCAAACGGGG
rnacentral:rRNA from 1 species